rnacentral:rRNA from 1 species
AGCGGCGGACGGGUGAGUAACACGUGGGUAACCUGCCCAAGAGACUGGGAUAACACCUGGAAACAGAUGCUAAUACCGGAUAACAACACUAGACGCAUGUCUAGAGUUUGAAAGAUGGUUCUGCUAUCACUCUUGGAUGGACCUGCGGUGCAUUAGCUAGUUGGUAAGGUAACGGCUUACCAAGGCAAUGAUGCAUAGCCGAGUUGAGAGACUGAUCGGCCACAUUGGGACUGAGACACGGCCCAAACUCCUACGGGAGGCAGCAGUAGGGAAUCUUCCACAAUGGACGAAAGUCUGAUGGAGCAACGCCGCGUGAGUGAAGAAGGGCUUCGGCUCGUAAAGCUCUGUUGGUAGCGAAGAAAGAUAGAGGUAGUAACUGGCCUUUAUUUGACGGUAAUUACUUAGAAAGUCACGGCUAACUACGUGCCAGCAGCCGCGGUAAUACGUAGGUGGCAAGCGUUGUCCGGAUUUAUUGGGCGUAAAGCGAGUGCAGGCGGUUCAAUAAGUCUGAUGUGAAAGCCUUCGGCUCAACCGGAGAAUUGCAUCAGAAACUGUUGAACUUGAGUGCAGAAGAGGAGAGUGGAACUCCAUGUGUAGCGGUGGAAUGCGUAGAUAUAUGGAAGAACACCAGUGGCGAAGGCGGCUCUCUGGUCUGCAACUGACGCUGAGGCUCGAAAGCAUGGGUAGCGAACAGGAUUAGAUACCCUGGUAGUCCAUGCCGUAAACGAUGAGUGCUAAGUGU